rnacentral:rRNA from 1 species
GACGAACGCUGGCGGCGUGCCUAAUACAUGCAAGUAGAACGCACAGUUUAUACCGUAGCUUGCUACACCAUAAACUGUGAGUUGCGAACGGGUGAGUAACGCGUAGGUAACCUGCCUGGUAGCGGGGGAUAACUAUUGGAAACGAUAGCUAAUACCGCAUAAUAUUGAUUAUUGCAUGAUAAUUGAUUGAAAGAUGCUAUUGCAUCACUACCAGAUGGACCUGCGUUGUAUUAGCUAGUAGGUGAGGUAACGGCUCACCUAGGCGACGAUACAUAGCCGACCUGAGAGGGUGAUCGGCCACACUGGGACUGAGACACGGCCCAGACUCCUACGGGAGCCAGCAGUAGGGAAUCUUCGGCAAUGGACGAAAGUCUGACCGAGCAACGCCGCGUGAGUGAAGAAGGUUUUCGGAUCGUAAAGCUCUGUUGUAAGAGAAGAACGGGUGUGAGAGUGGAAAGUUCACACUGUGACGGUAUCUUACCAGAAAGGGACGGCUAACUACGUG